rnacentral:lncRNA from 1 species
GAAACUUAUCCUUUCAGUCACGGUCUUCAACUGAGUAAAUUGCUAAUACUGAUGAAAAUGAAAGUUUUUGAAUUGGCACUGUUUCUUCUGCUUGUCUACUCUUUUGCUUGUAGGGGAAGUUUUUCUCGGAACGGGGAUGGUGCAGGUCUUACAUUGAUUGAUGGACAGAUAUGCAUUGCAUUUGAAGAUUUAACUACGGAUCAAAUAACGUGUCUACGGAAUUAUGAACUUGAAAACAUGGAAGCCGAUAAAAGAAACAAGAAAAACAAUAAAAAUAUUAAGAAUUGCCGCCCAGCAGGGAAGUGGCCAAGGCCACCAACCUGCGGUUAAUGUCGCUCAGCAAGUUGCACCCCAGUCCAGCGGUCAAGAUUUUAGAAAAGAACAUUAUUACUGAUUUCUAGCUGCCUGCGGGACCCGCGGUUUGGGAAUACUGGAAUUAGCUAUUUUGUUGACAUAAUAUAAAAAAAAAAAUGCAUUAUAAUUUCUUUACUUGAGUGUAUACAUGACUAGACCAUAUUGUUAUUCAUACCCAAUGAAACUAUGGUUUUUUACAACGUACUUUAAACCUUUAAUUAUUUCAACAUUGUUAUCACAAUUCAAAAAUAUAAUGCAAAUUAACAUUUUGCCAAUUAAUAAUACAAGAACCCCUAAUAAAGAGACACCUCCCUGACCAAGAUAGACUGUAGACACUAACCAAAACAUGAAAUUGUCGGGAAAAAAAUAAGUUACACAUUUUGAACAGUAAUUUAAAAAAACAAAACAAAAACACAUAAAAUACAUUAUAUAAAUACACAAAUAUGAUAAAAACAUUAUUGCUUUUAGGAAUGAUAUUUUGACCUACCUGACGUGUUAUCGUACUAAAUGCUCAGUACGUUCCUAGUACUUGCGAAUAAAAUCUCUCAAGUGAUCCGAGUGGGAACCGAACCCCUGACCUCCAGCUAACUAGCCUGGUGUCUCAUAGCUUUUAUUGCUUCAUUAUUAAUGUUUUACAAUAAUGAACACAAUAUUGGAUGCACAAGAUAACAUAAACAAACAUUGAGAAAUCAAGGUGCGGGUUUUGUAUACUGAAAUUCUUUACGAAAACAUCUGUAUUUAUGGAGACAAGGAAGAUCAUGGCUAAGGCAAAUGUUGACAGACAAUGGCUUAUACGAAGUGAUGAUCCACAAGGGAUAAAGGCCCAACUGCAAUGUGGGUUUAAAAACAGUAGUUUAAAAGACAACACACAGAUAGGCCUCAACCGACAUCUAUUUUAAGGAUCAAGAACAAUUAUUCUGAUUUAAAUGUUUAUGACUCAUAAGGCUUAUAAUUAGUAUAUUAUUGUUUUGCAUAUUUACUGUAAUGUUGAUAAAAAAUGUCCCUAAAUAGGGAGGAGGCGUGUGAUUAGUCCUUCGAUGAUUAUGAUGCUAAUGAUAGUAUAAUUUACUUUUUUGAUGACUUUUUUGUUGCAAUUUCAACAUCACUUCUCAUUAUGGCAAUGAGGAAAAUCCCUAUGUUCUGUUGUACAAACAGACAUGUAAGUCCAGUUGUUAUUUUUAUGCCGUUAUUAUUAUGUUUGAAGGUUUGCACAGCAAAGUAAUAACAUACAUGUUUAAGCUUGCGGUACACCACGUAGGUAGUGAGAACUGUUGUAGUUGAGAAAGUCUCGACGUUUCGACUGAGUUGCUUAAAUCGCCUUCAGGAGAGAAUAAUAUCUGCAGAAAUUCCAAACAGAGGAAAUACUUGUUUUUGUAGAGAUGAUGGCUGCUAUUGGAUGAAUAAACUGACCAAUGAGAAGACUGUUAGUGAAAUGCUAAAACAAAUCCAUUCAAUUUCACUGAGAGAAAGGGUGGGAACGCCCAAACAAAGGCUUAGUUCCAGUGGCGGGAAACGGGGUGGGAACAAUCAAAUAUAUUCAGUUUAAGUUCAACAUUCGAAAACAUUUACAGCAGUUUAAAUAUAAAAAAAUAGGUCUACUUACCUUCUAUCUCUGAAUGUCCCUCUCUGGAACCUCUAUUUCGAAUUCCUAGAUCCGCUAAUGUUAAUGUACUUCAUUAAGUUUUCAUAAAUUAUAGUGUUGUACAUCACAAGGACUAUUUAUUAUAUUAUAAUACUAUAUUACAAGUUUUGUGGUAAUUACAAUAGUUUAAAUUUAGUUGAUGUUUGAAUUGACGACGGUACUUCUCUUCAAAAUACAUCUGUGAAGAAAACAAAAUAAUAAUACCGUAUUCAUUCGAAUAACGUCCCGCUUUGAAUAAAUAACCCCGAAUAAACGCUGCCUAGUCUCAUUUGGAAUAAACACCUUCUGUGAAUAAACGAACCCUAAAUGACAGUAAACAAAUCUAAUGGAAGCAACAUCAUUGUCAACACAUUCUAUUAAUGUUUUACCCCAGUAGAUUUAAUUGUUUUCUAAGGUUAGAAUCAAUCUUUAUGAUCACGCCAUAUUGCACUGUUAUGUGGUGUAUGGUUCAACAUUUAUAAUGUAUAAUCAAGGAGCGGAUAUUUUAUUGUCCAUAUUAAACCCUAAAAAUAAACGCCUCCCUUGAAUAAGCUCCUCCUUCGAAUCAUAGAGAUACUAUAGUCUGCUAUAAUACCUCAGUGCUGGUAUAAAUAACCUUCAAAACAAUAAACGCCCGGGACGUUUAUUUGAAUAAAACCUAUGUAUCUGAGUAUCUGACAAAAAUAGGACAGUGCUGAAGACGUCACAAUAAAGCUGGCAAAAUAAGGUA